rnacentral:rRNA from 1 species
AACGAACGCUGGCGGCGUGCUUAAUACAUGCAAGUCGAACGAGGUGCUUUCGUAGCAAUACGAAAGUAUCCUAGUGGCGAACGGGUGAGUAACGCGUUGGUGACCUACCCCAAAGUGUGGGAUAACAGUUCGAAAGAACUGCUAAUACCGCAUGUGGUUAUCGGAUUUAGAAACUGAUAACUAAAGGAGCAAUUCGCUUUGGGAGGGACCUGCGUCCCAUCAGCUAGUUGGUGAGGUAAUGGCUCACCAAGGCUACGACGGGUAGGGGACCUGAGAGGGUGACCCCCCCACAAUGGAACUGAAACACGGUCCAUACACCUACGGGUGGCAGCAGUAGGGAAUAUUGCACAAUGGGCGAAAGCCUGAUGCAGCAACGCCGCGUGUGCGAUGAAGGCCCUCGGGUCGUAAAGCACUUUUCUGAGAGAUGAGCAAGGACAGUAUCUCAGGAAUAAGUCUCGGCUAACUACGUG